CGCUUCUUUUCCCACCGGAGCUUGCUCCACCGGGAAAAGAGGAGUGGCGAACGGGUGAGUAACACGUGGGUAACCUGCCCAUCAGAAGGGGAUAACACUUGGAAACAGGUGCUAAUACCGUAUAACAAUCGAAACCGCAUGGUUUCGUUUUGAAAGGCGCUUUACGGUGCCGCUGAUGGAUGGACCCGCGGUGCAUUAGCUAGUUGGUGAGGUAACGGCUCACCAAGGCCACGAUGCAUAGCCGACCUGAGAGGGUGAUCGGCCACAUUGGGACUGAGACACGGCCCAAACUCCUACGGGAGGCAGCAGUAGGGAAUCUUCGGCAAUGGACGAAAGUCUGACCGAGCAACGCCGCGUGAGUGAAGAAGGUUUUCGGAUCGUAAAACUCUGUUGUUAGAGAAGAACAAGGGUGAGAGUAACUGUUCACCCCUUGACGGUAUCUAACCAGAAAGCCACGGCUAACUACGUGCCAGCAGCCGCGGUAAUACGUAGGUGGCAAGCGUUGUCCGGAUUUAUUGGGCGUAAAGCGAGCGCAGGCGGUUUCUUAAGUCUGAUGUGAAAGCCCCCGGCUCAACCGGGGAGGGUCAUUGGAAACUGGGAGACUUGAGUGCAGAAGAGGAGAGUGGAAUUCCAUGUGUAGCGGUGAAAUGCGUAGAUAUAUGGAGGAACACCAGUGGCGAAGGCGGCUCUCUGGUCUGUAACUGACGCUGAGGCUCGAAAGCGUGGGGAGCAAACAGGAUUAGAUACCCUGGUAGUCCACGCCGUAAACGAUGAGUGCUAAGUGUUGGAGGGUUUCCGCCCUUCAGUGCUGCAGCUAACGCAUUAAGCACUCCGCCUGGGGAGUACGACCGCAAGGUUGAAACUCAAAGGAAUUGACGGGGGCCCGCACAAGCGGUGGAGCAUGUGGUUUAAUUCGAAGCAACGCGAAGAACCUUACCAGGUCUUGACAUCCUUUGACCACUCUAGAGAUAGAGCUUCCCCUUCGGGGGCAAAGUGACAGGUGGUGCAUGGUUGUCGUCAGCUCGUGUCGUGAGAUGUUGGGUUAAGUCCCGCAACGAGCGCAACCCUUAUUGUUAGUUGCCAUCAUUUAGUUGGGCACUCUAGCAAGACUGCCGGUGACAAACCGGAGGAAGGUGGGGAUGACGUCAAAUCAUCAUGCCCCUUAUGACCUGGGCUACACACGUGCUACAAUGGGAAGUACAACGAGUCGCGAAGUCGCGAGGCUAAGCUAAUCUCUUAAAGCUUCUCUCAGUUCGGAUUGUAGGCUGCAACUCGCCUACAUGAAGCCGGAAUCGCUAGUAAUCGCGGAUCAGCACGCCGCGGUGAAUACGUUCCCGGGCCUUGUACACACCGCCCGUCACACCACGAGAGUUUGUAACACCCGAAGUCGGUGAGGUAACCUUUUGG
rnacentral:rRNA from 1 species